AGAGUUUGAUCCUGGCUCAGGAUGAACGCUAGCGACAGGCUUAACACAUGCAAGUCGAGGGGCAGCGGGGGUGAUGGCUUGCCAUCACCUGCCGGCGACCGGCGCACAGGUGAGUAACACGUAUGCAACCUGCCCGCCACAGGGGGAUAAGCGGAAGAAAUUCCGUCUAAUACCGCGUGACGCGGCGUCGGGGCAUCCCGGUGCCGCCAAAGGGAUUACCGGUGGCGGAUGGGCAUGCGGCGCAUUAGCUAGUCGGCGGGGUAACGGCCCACCGAGGCGACGAUGCGUAGGGGUUCUGAGAGGAAGGUCCCCCACACUGGUACUGAGACACGGACCAGACUCCUACGGGAGGCAGCAGUGAGGAAUAUUGGUCAAUGGGCGGGAGCCUGAACCAGCCAAGUCGCGUGAGGGAUGACGGUCCUACGGAUUGUAAACCUCUUUUGCCGGGGAGCAAGCGUGCGUUCGUGAACGCGCGUCGAGAGUACCCGGAGAAAAAGCAUCGGCUAACUCCGUGCCAGCAGCCGCGGUAAUACGGAGGAUGCGAGCGUUAUCCGGAUUUAUUGGGUUUAAAGGGUGCGUAGGCGGGAUGCCAAGUCAGCGGUAAAAAUGCGGUGCUCAACGCCGUCGAGCCGUUGAAACUGGCGUUCUUGAGUGGGCGAGAAGUAUGCGGAAUGCGUGGUGUAGCGGUGAAAUGCAUAGAUAUCACGCAGAACUCCGAUUGCGAAGGCAGCAUACCGGCGCCCUACUGACGCUGAGGCACGAAAGCGUGGGUAUCGAACAGGAUUAGAUACCCUGGUAGUCCACGCAGUAAACGAUGAAUGCUAACUGUCCGGUGCGAGUGAGCGCUGGGCGGUACAGCGAAAGCGUUAAGCAUUCCACCUGGGGAGUACGCCGGCAACGGUGAAACUCAAAGGAAUUGACGGGGGCCCGCACAAGCGGAGGAACAUGUGGUUUAAUUCGAUGAUACGCGAGGAACCUUACCCGGGCUCAAACGCAGGAUGACGGGUCCCGAAAGGGGCCUUUCUUCGGACAUUCUGCGAGGUGCUGCAUGGUUGUCGUCAGCUCGUGCCGUGAGGUGUCGGCUUAAGUGCCAUAACGAGCGCAACCCCUGUCCACAGUUGCCAGCAGGUAAAGCUGGGGACUCUGUGGAGACUGCCGGCGCAAGCUGCGAGGAAGGCGGGGAUGACGUCAAAUCAGCACGGCCCUUACGUCCGGGGCGACACACGUGUUACAAUGGCAGGUACAGCGGGAUGCCACGGGGCGACCCGGCGCUGAACCCGAAAACCUGUCUCAGUUCGGAUUGGAGUCUGCAACCCGACUCCAUGAAGCUGGAUUCGCUAGUAAUCGCGCAUCGGCCACGGCGCGGUGAAUACGAUGGCCGGGCCUUGCACACACCGCCCGUCAAG
rnacentral:rRNA from 1 species